AAAAAGACAAACUAUGAGUUUCCGUGUCUAACUUUAACUGUCCGUUUUAUAUGAAAUUUUUUUAUAAUUUGUAUUUUCAUUGUUGUUAGAUGAUAAAACAUGAUUAAUAUUUUAUGCGCGACUUGUCUUUUUAAUUUUUUUAUAAUUUUUUCAAAUAAGACGGACGAUCAAAUAUUGGACACGAAAACCAGAGUUUGUCUUUUU
rnacentral:pre_miRNA from 1 species